UUAGAAAUAUUAUUUUGCAUCAUUGGAAAAAAUGUUCCUAUCCUGCAGAUGUUGGAAAUCAAUUCUCAGAAAACCAAACUGAACAGGAAACAGAACCGACGUCCUCUUCUAUACUCAGCAUCCUAAGAAUUAAGCAUCCAAACUCAUGAGCAGCACCUGGCCACAUGUUGCAGUGAGGGACUGUCAGCCUCACCUCGAGAACGUCAUCUGUGCAAGACUCUGGCUCUCCCUAGAGUCUCUCGCCGGAGCCGGCCCCUCACUGAGGAGAUUUUGUGCUGGUUGUGUGAACUUUCCUUUUUUCAAAUUAUUUUGAAAGGAGAGUAUACAAUCGUCAUCAGUAAAGAAUUCUCCAGAAAGAAGAAAGCCACAUUGAGAGCAGUCCAAAGAGCACCAUGGAGUGAACACAGGGAUCUCCCUGAUGGGGUGGGGAGCACCAUGGAGUGAACACAGGGAUCUCCCUUAUGAGGCCAGGAGCACCACGGAGGGAGCAUGGGAUUGAUUUUCCCUGAUGGGGUCAGGAGCAACAUGGAGUGAGCAUGGAGGUCUUUUCUCCCUUAUAUGGCAACCUACACUUCUUUAAGGACAUCAGGCAGAACAUGUGUGACAAAACUAGCCUUCCUCCAAAGACAUCCCUAUUAGAGACUGACCACAUUGGCCAGAGUCAUGCCACAACCUGCCACAGACUCUACCACAGCCUUCUGCAGGGACAAAGCCACCAGCCUGCCCAUCAGGAGGAUCAGUGGAGAGCUGAGAGGAGUAGGUGGUUUGUGAGAGAAUCAUGUGCAAGUGAGCUGAGGGCUCACACAGAACAGAGAGGAGUUUGGAAGCUUUUGCUGCAAAGGUCUGAGUUGUGUGGCUUAGAUCAACAGUGAGUUAGUUUACUCUUUGAUGAAAAACUAAUGGUAGAUAAAAAGGCAAAUGCCCUCCAACGGAGAAAGCAGUUACAGAUACGGAAAAGGAGAAGCUGAGAUGGACCUGCAGGUCAGACUGGCGUUAUUCAUGCAGGUAGAUGACAGAUGAUAGAUAAAUAGGU
rnacentral:sRNA from 1 species